rnacentral:rRNA from 1 species
ACUCCUACGGGAGGCAGCAGUGGGGAAUAUUGCACAAUGGGCGCAAGCCUGAUGCAGCCAUGCCGCGUGUGUGAAGAAGGCCUUCGGGUUGUAAAGCACUUUCAGUCGUGAGGAAGGUAGUGUAGUUAAUAGCUGCAUUAUUUGACGUUAGCGACAGAAGAAGCACCGGCUAACUCCGUGCCAGCAGCCGCGGUAAUACGGAGGGGUGCGAGCGUUAAUCGGAAUUACUGGGGCGUAAAGCGCAUGCAGGUGGUUUGUUAAGUCAGAUGUGAAAGCCCGGGGCUCAACCUCGGAAUAGCAUUUGAAACUGGCAGACUAGAGUACUGUAGAGGGGGUAGAAUUUCAGGUGUAGCGGUGAAAUGCGUAGAGAUCUGAAGGAAUACCGGUGGCGAAGGCGGCCCCCUGGACAGAUACUGACACUCAGAUGCGAAAGCGUGGGGAGCAAACAGGAUUAGAUACCCUGGUAGGAUAGCG